AUCCUGCUGCAGAGUUUUUUACUCAAUAGCAGUGCAUGUGUAGACGCUGCCCCUGCUGGCUGGGGCAUGACGGCACUUCAGUGCAGAGGCCAGCUAGCUUCACACUGAAGCACCCUCAUGCCCCAGUCAGCCCCUGGGUUCCCUGCCAGCCAGAGCUGCUCCAACUUGGCUCAACAUAUUACGCACCUAGGAGCACCAAACUGGAGCAGUAGGCUCUGGAGUUUAUUCAUGCACACUAAUUGCACUUGUAGACACAUCCUAAGAUUUAUAUAUACACAACUGAAGUCCACAGAAGUUAUUCACACACAGUAAAACAGAAUUUGGUCAACCAGCUAAAAGAUGCUUUGGUGAUGAUGCUUCUCCCGCCCUCCCCAGUAGUUAAGUACACUCACCCUGGAUAUUGGAUAGCCGGAGUUGCUGUUCUCCUGAGCAGAAAGGGGUUUCAAUCUGGAUCUCCAACAUCUCAGGGGAGACAUUCAUGAAUAACUCACUGAAAUUAAAAUAUUUUAAGCAUAAUGCAGCACUGAGACAUUCAGUCUAAAACGGCAGGUGACAAGAGCAAGCUCAAUUUUAUUCAAUUUUCUUGACAGGUUUCUUCAUUUAAAUAAUGCUGGAAGUGUUUUCAAAGUGCUAUGCAUCCCAAACCCUGCCACAAGUUGAGAUGAAUAUUCCAGACGGUUUCUUCUUGCAGCCACAGUACUGUCAAGCUCCUGACCAAAUAUUACCAUAAGCAACUACAUUUUUGUUGGGCUUGAUCUCCUUGGUUUUCAAGCUGUUGCUUUAAGGGCCCCAGUUCUGCAGGCAAUAAAAGUACAUAACUGAAGUUAAUGGGAGAUUUGCACAUACCUUGAAUUUGGUAGCCCUAACACGAGACAAUUAGGUGUGGUGACAGAGGGGUUAUGCUAUCUUGCCAUUGCUCCAGGGAUGCAAGUUCAAGCCUUACUCUGCAUUCUUACAAAGGCUGCCUCCAGUUGACUCAGUUGUAACUGCGUGUCUGGCUCAUUCAGUCCGAGUCAUCAAAGGUGGUUGGAUGUGAUGCUAGCUACAUUACCCCCUUGUGUGCUACUGACUACAGAAACUAUUGCAUCUCAAAUGUACUAACCCAAUGGGCUGUUGGAUACAUGUAGACAUUUGACUUGAAUGUCCAGGUACUCUCCCACUUGAAAAUACUUAACUAGAGAAAAAAUGCUAAUUGUUCUUCUUCACCUCUUUUUUCAUGUAUCCAUAUUAAAUGAUCAGGGUUUAGGGUGCCAAACUUUACUGAAUAUUAUUUAACCACUUGGAACAGGCUCUAGCUGUUCUCAUGCAAAUUUUAAGCUUAGGCACUUAAAACUGUAUAUUCAAUUUAUGGAGUCAUGCAUCUGAAAGCUGAAAGUGUUAGUGCUGAGCAUCACAAUACUUGUUGGAGAGUAUGUCCUAAGUGACUUGAAAACUACUCAAGGUUUGAGUUGAGUCAGAGUUGCUGGUAGAAUGAUAAAUUCUUGGAAUUAAUUCUGGCUUUGUUGAAGGGCAUGGGAAUUUUGCAAUCAUUUUCAGUGGGAGACAGAACAAGCACAUUCUGAUCAACACAUAUUCUGGUUUCAGGUUUUCCUCUGACUGAGGUCUUCUGUCUUACAAAUUACCUUCAAGAAGGUCUCUAAUUACUUCAAAUGAAUCUCAAUCCCAGAUGAAUCCCCAUGCCAGGGCUCAGGGGUCCUCCUUUCUGUAAAAGGAGGACUCUGUAGGAUCCCCACUAAAGCUAGUCAGUUCUUUGAGCUGAUUGAGCCACUUGAAGGGCUAUAAUAAGUUAAGUAGUGGUGAAACAAAAUGUAUUAUAUAUAGAAAACUUAGCCUUUGUUUCCAUCAUCUCUUUGCUCUAGAUAGAAAUUAAUCGGUGACUAGUAUUCUUUUAAAGUGAUGCUGUAUGUAAAUUCUGGUUUUCUUAGCAAUGAUCUAGAUGGGGGUGGGGAAAGGGGCAACCUGCAACACGGGUGCCACAAGUGGCAGGGGAAGCCUCUGUGUGUGAUGGCAGAUUGGGGAGGGGAUGGCAGCACCAUGACAGAUAGAGCAAGGAGCAGAAAGAGCAACAGAUGAGACAGGGAGCACAGGGAAGGAAGCAGAAAUCUGAGCAGCAGAUUGGGUAGGGAAGAGGGAUUGGAGUGACACUUGGAGAGGGCACCAGGCUAAUUUGUGGCAUGCCUACCAUAAAGAUUGGCCGCAACUGGUCUAGACAGGAGAAAAUCUUUUGCAUACAUCACUUUAUCAGGAUACUGUAUAAGGUUGUUUCCUAUGGAAUGGAUUAAGCAGAAUGUUAGAUCAUAGUUAUACCUUUCUGGGUAUAUCUUUCUUUGACCUAAGGCCCUAGAUGUAUCUACAGACCCAUCACAUUCCCUAAGAUUGGCCAAGAGCAACUUCCUGCAAGUAACUUUGGUGCACCAAGUUCACUUGGCAAAAAACAUCUGAAGGGUAGUUCUUGGCAGUCGCUCAACUUUGGAACUUCUUUCCCCUUGAGGCCCACCAGAGCCCAAGCUUGGACAUCUGGAAAUGCUGUAAGACCUUCUUAAAUGGACAGACAUUUAGCAAGCCAGGCUAGGCUGGGGUACUAUCUAAGGAGAUUAUAUUUUAUAUUCAUUCCAUUUGCUUUUACAUGCUAUUUCUAUCUUGUACUGUAAAUUACCCUGAGCCGUUUCAGGAAGGACAGUAUAUACAACAGAUAAAUACAUAGUAUAAUUUUCACUUAAUGGAGAUGUAUCAAAUCUGUACCAUGUGGUUAAAAGGUACUUAGUAGAAUGUGCCAUUUGAAACCCUGGUCAGAUAAUACAAGCAUACAAAAUAAAAAGGUGUUUAUAUUCAUCUCUUUAUGUGCUACUUUAUAUGUAUUUUGAGAUAUAUACUCAAGUGGGAGGAGUUGGUUAUUAAGGCUUCCAAAUUUGUGACAUGAUCUGCAGCAACUCUUGAAACUCAUUAGCUUCAGUGGGAGUUGCAUACUGUUAUAGGCUGCAGAACUAGGGUCUUAGAGGAUUUUACUAGCUUUGAAUUACAUGGAAAUUCUACUUGCAGGAAGGUUUCACAAGUUAUAGCACCAAACAGCUUGAAAAUGCUUCCAUACCUGUUUAAUUAAGAAAGCUGCCUGUGCAAAUUGAACAGAAUUGGGCUUGCUAUUUUAGAUUGUGUGUCUAGGCUCUGUGCUGUGCUAGAAGAAGAUUUGUAGGCUUGCUUUUUUCCUUGGACCUGCCUGAAAAUUAGGUAUAGACUAAAUAUGGGAUGCUGUAAUCAGUAAAACCCUUGAAUAGAAGAAUGUAUUUACUUAAUUCCUUUUAUACAGAGCACUGUCAUAAAUAAGAUGAUUUAAUUGUAGUGAAUUAUUGCAAAUUUCUUUUAUGAGCAGAGUCCUAAAUUAAAUAGCUUGUGAGUCAGCAUUUUUGCUUCAUGCCAGCAUUUUAAUCCCAAAUCAGAGUGAAAGGAAUAAUUUAGAAUUAUGAAGGUUAGUGCUACAAUCAUUGGUACCAAGACAACAUUAAAUUUGCAACAGAAAAUAUUUCUCAUUCAGUACAUACAGGUAUCAGUUAAAGACUUUUUCAUAAUGUCACUAGUUUGUAGGAAAUGAUUGUAGUCUGAGUUCUAUUGCACAUGGUCACGGACUCGGUACUUAUCUGUAAACUGGGGCCUGCAUUGUUUUUUCACUUUUUCACAAGUUAUCCAUCCGAGAUCCUGCUAAAAGAUUAAGCAUUAUGUUAAACAUAUAAUUAAAACCCCACCAUCUAGUGCAGGUCAAGAGGCCUAAAAACCUGACCCCAUCAAAAUUAAACUUCCAAACUGGCAGGAAACACACUCCUCACAGCCUAAAAGUGCAGGGGUUUAUCUCAUCAAGAGAAGGAAAAGCAAUCAUGGCUCCUUUAGAGCUACCCUCACCAAGGUUGGCUGCCUGGAGGCCAGAAAUUAUUGCAAGCGGUGUGGGUGGGGGUACAACUUACCUAUUUGUACAGGGAAUGUGCAGUGUUCAUUCCUACCACCACCAGUGGAACAGGGUUUAUCAUAAGUGAUUGGUGCCUCCUGAGUCUGGGGGGCACCUGCAGAAGCCAGCAUUGGCGGUGGUGGCGGGGACGGGGCUUGCAAGCACCUGCAGAAGCUGCUGGCAGCAGCAGGGAUGGUGUUGGCGAGCACCCACAGAAGCCAGCAGCGGCGUUCAUAGUGGGGACAGCCCUGUCGGGGGGGGAGGGCACAUGACCCCCAUGCUCCCUUUACCAGUUGCCUAGGGCGUUUAUGACCAGAAUGCAGGAUUACUCCACCUCACUUUUUCCUUUAGGCCUAGGAAGGAUUUUUCCUCUUAUCACAGGCUUUUUUUCCCCUCUCCCCCACCCCUCCUUUCUUUCCCCACAACUGGUUGCGUAUGUCAGGAUCAAAUUGUCACUGCUUAGCAGGCUCAUAGUUCAGAUGCUUGUUCCAUUGAGGGAUCCAGUUCCAUGAUAUACCAGAUCUGGAAGUAUACUUAGGGGAAGGUAUCUUCUAAGGAAGCAAUGGCCCCUAAUGUCUGGUACAGCUGAGAGGCAAUCCUAUUUGCUCAUCACCUUGGAUCCAGGGUAAGAUGGAAGAGACCUGGCAACACAGCCCCUGGCCCCGCCUGUAACUCCCGAAGUCUAAAGAGAAAUCCAGUCUGUCUCCCCCUUCACACCCCUCCAAUAUACCAGAAACCUGCCAACACCAACCUUAGGAUCUUCAGUAGAAAAAAACCACUAAGCCCCAAUGUGCUAUAGGACGAAAGCCAGAGAAACCAAGCGUGCUGCCUAUACUUCAGGGGAUUCGUCCAGGGGAAAUGCUUCACUGCAAUUACAGGGGAUUUGUUAGGUAAAACAUGUCCAGAUGAACCUAGGAAUGGACUGUGCUCAGUGCUACAGAGGAAGGCAAAGACCUCCACAAUCUUAGACUGUCUGACCUGGGAAAAAUUUCUUUCCUGACCCCACAUCUGACUUGCUUUAGUUCUGAACAUGUGAGCGAGACACCAGCAAGUGCUCUUUUCUUUCAGGUAUGCUGUACCCAAACCUUAUGUCUUUAUAUCCAGAUGGUAGAAAUCACCUGCAUCCAGAGCCAUCCCUGAGGGGGUGUGAAUCGGGGCGACCACUCCGGGCCCCGCACUUUGCGGGGCUCUGCGGACAGUGCCGUACAGGCCCCAUUGCAGACGCCAGACGCUGCCACUGCUGAGCGCUGCCGGUUGUGCCACCGCUGAGAGCUACCAGCUCCGGCCACUCGCCACCCGCUCCUUUCUCCUCCCCUCCCUCCGCUCCACUGGCUCCGGCCACUCACCACCGGGCCCUGCACACCCCUAGGGACGGCUCUGCAUCAGUGAGUCAGCAGAGCUCAUGUAACUAGAUUCUCAUCAAGAUAAACACCUGAUAAGAAGGUAGGGUGUUUUAGAUACUGCCAAGGUCUACAACAAUGCUCUCAGUACCAUUGAGAAAGCUGGACAUAAGGAUAAUAACUCUUGAAGUAAUGGUUAUUUACAUACUCAUACGCCUACCAACACAACUAGCAAGUAUAUGCAGUGUCAAAUAAAUACAAUAUAAGACCAAAACUAUGAUCUACAUGAUCAAAUAUCUCACCGUGAUAAUCUACUCUCUCUCUGUAGUACUCCUAUUGACAUAAAAACAAAUUCUGUUACUUGAAAAAUAAAUUCAUACCAAUUGAUUAAUCUAGCAGAUGUACAAAAUAGGCAUGUACCACCUCUGAGAUGCAUAAAAAACACAGAUAGAUUUGUUGCACACUUGAGAACGCGCUAGGACCAGAAUUGUGGAGCAAGUUGGGAAAAAGAAACUAUGGCCUGAAAUGUUCAAAACUGGAAGAAUAUACAGGAGGCAGCUUGGGUCGAUCUGAGGAGCUUGCAUCAGGAUGUUUUGUCUGUGACUUUUCCAUGACCACUGGAUGUGGGUGGAUACUCUAACUGCUAUGGUUUGCGUGUGGCACCAGACUUCCCUAAGGAACUCUAGAUGGACUUUAUGGACAUGUAUUAAAAUGGGUUCUCUUAUUACUAGAAACAAAGCUAUUACUUAGAUUUGAUAAACUUUUGAAUACUAUGUCACCCAAAUGGAAAAUCUCUAUUUACUGUUCAUGAAGUGUAAAAUACAUCACUUUACUGGCCAACAGUUCAGAGGGUCAGUUCUACCAUUGGCAUGUAUCCUGAAAUCACAUAAAGAUGAGUUAUUUUUAGAUCAGUCAUGCAGAAGAGGAAAAGGAUUGUUUUGUAAGAUUUUCAAAUUGUGAACCUUGUAGUAAGCCAGCAGGAGAAAAUCUAAUAUAAAUCAGGAAGAUUAAUCAUCUUACACAGGAUAUUUUGUGGAUUGUUUACGUUCAGGUUCUUAUGUGCACAUAAGCAAUACAUUAAAGAGUGAUCUCUUUCAGGUAA